GAUUUUCUCAUUGAAGAUGCCAAUCAUCCCCAUUUUGAAGAUGAAGAAACUUCAAGAACUGAUGGAACACUUGCCCAAGUGCUGGCCAGAGGUCUGUCCAGAGUCUUGGGCUAGAAAGUCAGAGGGUGUGAUCUCUCAGCUUAGUUAUUCUCCGCGGCUCAGCUCAGUGCUGGAGACUCAGGUGCAUAUCGUGGGAUCUUUGCUCCCCAACCAGGGAUUAAACCCACAUCCUUGGCAACGAAGUCUUGUAGCUUUAACCGCUGGACUGCCAGGGAAUUCCCUUCAGUCCUUUUUCAAUGGCUUCCACCCUUUUUUUUUUUUUUUUUGCUUAGCUCAUUAGAAAGGAGAACAUCUGUGAAAACACAGAUUUAAUGGCUAUUGGUAGUUUCAAAUAUAAUUUAGAUCAUUUAUUUAC